CCUACGGGAGGCAGUAGUAGGGAAUAUUGCUCAAUGGGGGAAACCCUGAAGCAGCAACGCCGCGUGGAGGAUGAAGGUUUUCGGAUUGUAAACUCCUUUUGUUAGAGAAGAUAAUGACGGUAUCUAACGAAUAAGCACCGGCUAACUCCGUGCCAGCAGCCGCGGUAAUACGGAGGGUGCAAGCGUUACUCGGAAUCACUGGGCGGAAAGAGCGCGUAGGCGGGAUAGCAAGUCAGAGGUGAAAUCCUAUGGCUUAACCAUAGAACUGCAUUUGAAACUGUUAUUCUAGAGUAUGGGAGAGGUAGGUGGAAUUCUUGGUGUAGGGGUAAAAUCCGUAGAGAUCAAGAGGAAUACUCAUUGCGAAGGCGACCUGCUAGAACAUAACUGACGCUGAUGCGCGAAAGCGUGGGGAGCAAACAGGAUUAGAUACCCGGGUAGUC
rnacentral:rRNA from 1 species